CCUACAGCCCCUCCCUCCCCACCUAUGUCAGCGCCGCUAAAUUUAGCUCUUCCAGCAUGUGCACAGUUUAUAUUUAGUGCCUAAAAGUCAGAGUUCAAUGUACAAUUCAUCAAGUCAUCAAUCAUCCCUCUAUCCAAGCGACACAUUAUAGAAAAAUCCUUUCAAAAGACUCGCUUGCUCUCCACAAGGGGUAGAAGCCAUUCUAAGAAGGAAUUCACUGGGCCAGAGGGGUUUUCUCCUCACCGUGGUGUGUGAGGAGUGCCUGAGAAUGCCAAGCCUGGAGUGGGGGCUGAGCACCGGCAGAGAUUGUAGUGGCUACUUGCAUACCAAGGACCAGGAAACACCUCUUCUCAAACAUUGCCUGCUCUCCUCUGGAGUUCAGGGAUUUUGGCAAAUGCUCUGGAAAUUUGCAAGACCAGUGAUUUGUGGACAUCAGAUCUAUAGCCGGUAG
rnacentral:lncRNA from 1 species